CUCUGGGUCAGGAAGGAAUUGCUGUUCUCCUAUCAGAAUGGCAUCUGCCACCAUGCUGUAGGAAGCCGUGGACAUCAGAUACUCAGAUUUUCAUCGCCAGGGGAGAUGAGGACAGGACGGAAAGCAAUCCUUGUGCUUCAUGGAGGUGAGCGCCCAUUUCAGAAGACACAAAGGUACGGGACGAGCCCUGCUGCGAGGAAGCAGCCACACCAGUGCUGUGGUUUGGUGCCUUUCCUCCUGCCCCACUCUUUCUGCUCCAACCUUUUUGAUUGUUGCAAGUCCCAUCUCUUUUACUUUAUUGGUUUCCAAUAUCUGGUCAGCUGCUCCUAUGGGAACCCCGCACUCCCUUUGCUUUUCCUUGGGUCAUCCCUGUCACUUUGGGGGAUCAUUUUGUGGUGUAGAAAGCAGCGCGAUGAGGCACAAAGGGCCUUGAUAGAGCCCGAGUUUUGUUUAACAGUUCAGAUAGUGAAAGUUUACAAGAGCCGUACUGGGAAAGCUACGCUGUGAAUAGAGCUAUUAUUGCCAUUAUCACAUUGUUUAGACUGGUGGGCCAAAACACAGGCAUUUCGUAUUUGUUUAACAGCUUCAUCAAGCUGUAUAUUUGUAUUGUCCUUUGGGCUGUGUUGUCAGAGGGUUGCAAGCGACAUAAGAAGAAGUAUCAGCCGUUCCUUGGGGGAUUUGCCGGUCCAAGAAGUCAUUAAUUACAGAGCAGGGGAGCCGAAGCAGAGGCAGGAUUUGGCUUUCCCGAACUCAGAGGAGCGGCGGGGGCCGAUAGAGGGCAGCAGGCUCCUGCGGCUGCGGGGCGCCCGGUCCGCGGCUGUCCGGCGUCGGGGCGGGGGGUCCUGGUGAACUUCCCCCUUCGUGUCGGAAGAUUAGAAAAAAAAGAAAAGAAAAAAAAUAAAAAAGAAAAAAAGAAAAAAAAAGAAAAAGAAAAACUCUGGGGAAAAAAAAAAGAGAAAAAAAAAAGGGAAAAACACGCAGAAACCACAAAAUCUACGAAACGAUCCUUAUGCUGCAAAAUGUCCCCGCUAAAGAAUGUCCCUAUAAGUGCGUGUGUCGUGUCUGUAGGUUCCUGUGAAAGCAGCUUUCUGUCUGCGUUCUGUUUCCGUAUGAAACCCAAGAUGAUCUAUCGUGUUGUGCUCGGGUCUCUGUUUCAUGAUAAAGCGGUGGGUAGGUUGCAUGAUUCAUUCUUCCACUGAUUUCAGCACUUAUUCUCCCGUUUCAGUGCAGGCGGUUCAGCACUAAAAGCUAAUGGUUAUCACUUUUUUCCCCCUCUUUGUCGCAAAGCAAAACCAAAUCCCUUCCAGAUCUACUGUGGAUUUUUUGCUCUGCUGUCGGUCCCCGUGCCGGGCUCUGCGUUUAUGGGCAGGGAGAAGGGGAGCACAUCGUUAGGAGAGUUUGUGCUCAGGGGGUGCAGCAGAGAGCACAGAGCCAACGCUUACAGACAGACUUUGCUCCUCAGCUUUCUGCUUGUCUUUAAUGCACUUUAUUACACCUUUUCAGCAGUUCACUCCAAGGACGCUCAGGCUCGUAAUCCCUAUCUGACACAGAGGAAUCCCCUUUGGCUCUCAGCGCGCAGCCAUGGCUGCAUUCUGCUGCUUGAUUUGUUGCCUUUGAUCAUUUCUAAUUAUUAUUUGCAUCAGUUCUUGUUCGGGUUGCUGGUGCUGCUCACUUCUGACCGCGAUCUGAGGCCGAGUGCUGUAACGUUGUCUUGGCGUUUUCAAUUGCUGUGUUAUUUUCGGGGCUGGUGGUCUCAGCAGAACCCGGCUCAUCACUGCAUGGGGCUCCCAAACCUCGUGUCAGCCAUCAGCUCAGGGUGAAGAGCCCCCGAGAGUCGGGGUGUGUGCAUGCUGGGGCUCCAGAGGUGGACAGCAUGCACUGCCAGCGUUGGUUUAAUUGGUGGUGCUCUGAAAGCAGUGUGUGCUUUUUUUCUGAUACAGCUCAAACUAUCCCUCAAACUGAAAGUAGUGCUUCUCCCGUAUUUUGACAGCAGCUCCUCGUAUACAGGAGCCCUUCCUGGUAUUUACAAAAUCAGUGCAUUGCACUCAAGCUGAGCAGUGAGCAGGAUUCUGUUUGAAGUCCUUUUAUAUAGUGAAGUAACAAUGUUCUAUGUGUUAAAAACAGGAUCAGCGAUUCCUCCCAGCCCAGGACUGUUGGGUCAGCACUGUUUUUAAGCUCACAUGCCUUUGCUCGGGCAUAAGGCAGUGCUGGUUGGCCACAGCCAAUGCAAGCAGUGUGCUGGUGGCAGGGCUGAUGGGUCCGGUGUAGAAGUGGGGAGUGCACGUAAGUAUUUGGUGCUUGUUCUGGUUUUUAUUUGCUUCCUUUUGGGGCAAAAUAGUGUCACUUGGAGCAAGUAAUUUGUGAUUAUUUGUUAUUAUUAUAAAUUGAAAAGGGAUCUGGCCACGUAAAACUUAGCGCCGAGCCCCGAUCCUACAGUAG
ensembl:lncRNA